UCAGAACUUCGCUUUUCUUUGCCCUCACCACUGUCAUGGGGGUAAUCUCUAUGCUAGAAAGUGGCUUGUGGCCCGCACCAAAUCCAGUUUGUUUCCAUAGUUACAAGAUACCAGUCCUUUCCCCCAACUCACACUGGGUCGGGAGGGAUAGGCUGACUACAGGUAGCUCUAUUUCCCCCACAGGUGCAGAUCCCCUUAACCACGCCCAGAUGACCACGUACACUAGUUGGCAAUCCUAAUCUUGAUUUAAGUAUCUCCCAGGAAGCACAGUAAAGGACAUGUACACUAUAAAUGACAAGUGCCAAAGCGCAGCCCCCGGGAAUGGGAAUACUGGGGAGAGGCCAGGAUGCAGCAGACUGUCACCAUUAUGCUUGACUGUGACCUCACAGGCUCAUGUGUUGGAAUACUUUGUUCCCAGAUGGUGGUCCGGUUUUGAAGAUCAUCGAACCUUUAAGAGGCCCAAAGGGACUGGAGCCAACUGACCGUGAACUACGACCAUGAGACACUCCACUGUGCCACUUUGUCACAGCGUGAGAAGAUGGCUGAUGUGGACAUUUAAGAUACCAACCAUAACAUAUCCUUAGGACUGCUCAGGAGGCAUAGAGUUAAGGGAGCUACAAUUUCCGUUCUUCACUUGAUUAGCAAAGUUUUCCUAUUGUCCAGGAGAGGACCUGUCUCAGCAGGCAGUCUCCAUGAGGGCAGGAUUCCUCUACUUUCCCUAGCUGUGCUGAAAUGACCGAAUUUUGGUGUGCCCUGCUGAGAAAAGAGCAGGGGGAGUGACAGUGGCCUCUGUCUAUCAGGGAAGAAGAUGAGCCCGGAAGGCAAUAAACCUCCGUAUCCACUACAGGAAAUGAAACAGCAGCACAUUGUCUUGUCUGGACCUCAGUCAGGCGAGUGUGGGAAAAGACAACACCAGGCCGUCUCCUUCCUCAGAGGCCCUGAAGGCUCAGCUCUGCCUCGGAGGAGUCUGUGGCUCUCUUUGAUCCCUCCUGCCCUUCGCUUUUACUAUCCUGACCUAAAAUGGCCAUAGAAGCAGCAGGGGACAUGUCUCAACGUUCUAGUUGGAGGAUGCUGUGCACACAUGCAGAUGUCACUCUGCCUGCUGUGGCUACAAGGGACAGGUCCCUUUUCAGCUUGGCUUUGGGGAGAGUCCGGGGUCUAUUCUCCUUGGGAGGUUACAUGCUGAGUGGCUGAGCCUGGGAGACAGUGAAGACCCCAGGGAAGCAAGCCCAGAGGAUGAUUUCCUGUUUCAUCGUGAGUAGGUGAGGGAACUUCUUCAAUGUCUACUCUAAUUACAGUCCCUCACAUGGAAGAAAACAGCAUCUUUUGCUAAGCCUCUGUCCUUUGCAAGCCAAUAAUCUGCUUCUGAACGUCACCGGACCCCUUUCUGUUACCCCCCGGGAGACACUGUAAGAAAACCAAGAGGCAUUGCCACCUGCCUGCUCGUCACCCUGCUCACCCUGUGAACUUCCCCAGCCCUUGAGUGCUGCUAAGAAUUUUCCCUCACAAAAGCUAAUGCUGAAAUCAGGAAAAGUGGGAGAGAAAGGAGGGGAAUAUUUUUGUUUGUUUGUUUGUUUGUUGUUUGAGACAGGGUUUCUUUGCAUAGCCCUGGCUGUCCUGACCAGAGAUCCACUUGCACUGCCUCCUGAGUGCUAGGAUUAAGUUGUAUGCCACCACCGCCCACCGCCCACCGCCCAGCAGGGAGGGUUAUUUUAUGGCUGGAGAGGUGGCUCGGUGAUUAAGAGCGCUUGCUGCCCUUCCCAAUGACCUGCACCCAUCUCAGGUGGUUCACCACCACCUGUACCUCCAGAUCCAGAGCAUCUUACACUUUGUUCUGACCUCCGUGGGUACCAACACAGAUAAGUAUACACACACACACACACACACAGUGAGAGAGAGAAAGAGAAUUAAAAAAAAAAUCUUGGAGAGAAAAAGAAAAAGAACUGCUGGGGUCAGAGGAAUGCUUCCCACUGGCCCUGCUGAUGCCCUCCCAGACUCCUUGGCACUGAGGAAGCUAGUCCUGGUGUGAGGCCACACUCCCUCUCCAUCCACGCUGGGAAGGGAUGGGAAAUCUUGCCACGCUCCCAUCCGUAGUUUCCCAGCUGCAUUGUGGAGUCUCAGCUAAGACGCAAAACUGCUUAUCCAUCAGGACAAUGCGCAUCAAAGGUUUUGAAAUACGUCCAAGUAAUCGACGCUGAAAGAAAACCACCCUCCCACCAGUGGGUAAAAUUAACCAUCUAAGAUAUCAGAUGAUCCAUCGCAACCCCGAUCUGGAGUUCUUAUUUCCUGGGGAAAUUUGCAAUUCAAUGCCAGCCCAGGUGGGUACAGGAAUUGUGUGGAGGAUGUGCCCACGCGUGGAGAGCUUUAAACAUAGCUGACACUUUCAGAACCACUGCAAAUGAAUGUUGCAAGACAGGUAAGAAAGACACCAAGACACCGCUGGGCUUACUCUGAGUCUUUCCUUUGCCUUUACUGUGGCUCUUCUCUCUGCUAAGAUGGCAAGUGGCUUCGGUCAUUUGAGUGGUCUUUUCCAGCCUACAAACAGCCUCAUGGUUCAUUUCAUUUCCACGUUAAAACAGCCCUGGGAGGCUGGAAGGCUGCUGUGAGGACCCCCACUGGAGAGAGAGAAGGACAGGAACUCAAGGGAAGUGAUGGGGAGUAACAUGCCAAAGGUCACAGAUGGGACUGUAGGCCUCACUCUUCCUGGGUCUGAGGCUCUGGGCUGCCCCAAGGUUGCCUACACCAUCCUGUUUGUUUCCAUGUCAUUGAGCCAGUUACUGCUUCUCAUCCUGUUGCACUCUUUCCCCAGAGAGACACCCAGGCAGCUUUCUCAGCUCAAAGAGACAGCCGGCCUAUUCACUGAGUCGUGGGGAGUAGCCAAUUUCCUUCUUAAGUAUUGU